rnacentral:rRNA from 1 species
UAUAGCUUGCUAUGAUGAAAAUUAGUGGCAGACGGGUGAGUAAUGCAUAGGAAUCUACCUAGUAGUAUGGGAUAGCCACUAGAAAUGGUGGGUAAUACUGUAUAAUCCCUGCGGGGGAAAGAUUUAUCGCUAUUAGAUGAGCCUAUGUUAGAUUAGCUAGUUGGUAGGGUAAAGGCCUACCAAGGCAGUGAUCUAUAGCUGGUCUGAGAGGAUGAUCAGCCACACUGGAACUGAGAUACGGUCCAGACUCCUACGGGAGGCAGCAGUGGGGAAUAUUGGACAAUGGGCGCAAGCCUGAUCCAGCUAUGCCGCGUGAGUGAGGAAGGCCUUAGGGUU